UAUUUACCAAUUACACUAUAUACAAAAGGAAAAAAAAAGAAUAACAAACUAGAUCAAUAUAACAGCACACACUAUUGAUAACUGCUUAAAGACGUAUUUAAAUAGAUAAGUACUAGUUUUCGAUUUCGAUUAACCUCUUGAAAGUAUAAAUCGUAGGAGCACUCUUGGCAUCAUAAGACAGACUAUUCCAUAAGUUAGCUCCUCUAUAUUUAAAACUCCUUUUUAGAAAUUCUUUUUUAGGUUUUGGAAUUGAGAGGUCAGUAUCAUAUCCUCUCAAAUUAUAAACAUUAUGGUCACUCCGUGCAGAAAAUGUUUCGCGAAGGCACGGGGCUGUGCCAUUUCUAAGGAUGUUGUAUACCAUAACCGCCUUGUUGAAUUUAAAUCUGGUAUCGAGAUUUUUCCAAUUGAGCCAUUCAAGGAGUUCAGAGGAAUUGGUAUCAUAGUUUGCUCCCGUCAGAACCCUUGCUGCUCUAUUUUGGAAUCUUUGCAAUUUUUGUUUUAGUAACACCCCACAAUUAUCCCAAAGGGGAGAGCAAUAAUCAAAAUAUGGUUGAAUUAAUGCUUUGUAGAUGGUGUGCAAGAUCUCAUUUGGGACAAAUGAUCUAGUACGUUUUAAUAUUCCAAUUCCUUUGUUAAUUCAUAAUGUUUUAAUAUUCCAAUUCCAAUUCAUAACGUUUUAAUAUUCCAAUUCCUUAGUUAAUUCAUUUGUUUAACCAAUCCAUUGAGGCAUAAAAUAAACCGAUCAACAUUCCCAAUUUAACUAAGGUUAUUAUUUUGAUUUGAUAGUAAAUCUACUCUAUAUUGUCUUUUAAAAUCGCUGGUCGUUCGUAAUUUCUUUAAGGAAACUGUAAUGUUCUCCCAUGACACUGAAGUAUAUAUAGAGUACGUGAAAGUACAUUUUGUCAACAUUUCUUAUUUUUGGCCUGUAAUAGUUGCACUGAUCUUUCUACAUGGCUUGUAUUGAAAUUAUUACAACAAAUUCCCAGUACUAGUUAUUUACAAGUUUAUAUUGUGGGAUUUCCGAUUUCAUUAAUCCAUUCAGUAUUUAUAUGUUAAUGACAACGUGGUCCAAAAUUCCACACAGCCUGUCUAACCCCGAGGUUUCAACUGAACAACCUAAUUUAGCUAAUUGUACAGACUACAAUCGUGGACAUAACUUGUUAAUAAAAUUUUAAUUUGCCUCUGUGAGAGUUUAAAUUCUAGUUUGAUUCCUGUAUGUUGUCUAAAAUAUCUUCCCCCGUCCCCCGAAGACAAUGUUGUUGAGAAUAUUGGCAACAUUAGGUGUGGGAAAGGGGGGAAACCUAAUUAAGUU